GACCAUUUUCCCUUGAGUAUAAAUCAAAUCCAAAAAAAAGAAAGAAGUUCUGCAAAAUUUGAAUAGGAAAGUAUGAAAAUGAAUUGCAAGACUUCCUUUUGCAAGUAGUGUCCCUUUAUUCAGGUACCCAACGUGUUGAAACAUUGCUGUUGUACACUUCGGGCACCUGAAUAAAGGGACACUACUUCCAAAAAGAAGUGCUGGAACUUGCGCCCUUGUGUGGUUG